GGGGGCUUGGUUCUCGUUGAUGAACUGAAACAUGCUACUGUCAAAUUAGAGAGCAGGAAACCACAGCCUUAGUUGACAUUGGACCUUUAUGUUGUUCUUUUUUCGUAUGGCGAAAAAGAGAGCUCAUAUAUUUCAUAUGGCCAUGUUAUCUUACAGAACAAAAAUAGGGAUCUCUUAAUGAAAUUGGGAGUUACUAAUUUCUUGUAAAGUAAUAUUUUUUAUAUGCAACUAUUCAGUUGACUUGUGAAGUAAUAGCUAAUGUCGGCAUGAGAGCAUGAACAUGGAAUCGUGCGCGCCGGCUCCUCGGCUAUCGCAUGAACUCUGUGCAGACUCCUGUAUUUGCGUGCUAUUCUGAUGAUGGUCCAGACAGUGGCAUGUCAUUCAGAUCCAGUAUGUGAUGACACUUGGAUCCUUGCUUGUGUGGACGACUUUGACUUCUAAUUACAGGCAUGAAGGACUGUUGUCUAAUCUUGCCGCUCAGCUGCUCGACCAAAUGUGCAGGCGCCUCCAAGAUUGGUGUGCCGUCCAAACGACAGUUUAGACAGUGGUUUGCCAUUUUGGCUGCUGCAAGAACCUUCACAGGUGAUGGGCACUACCAAGGUCUGCUGAGAGAUCCGGCUGAGAUAUUCGACACUCAAGGCUUACGUUUGGCUUCCGCCAAGAACUGAUCAUUGUGUCACAGGUAUACUAGCAUCCACGUAUGUCUCCACCGCGAUAAAAUUUUAAUGCCACGGAACCCGUCGGCAUGGAGAGCCUGCAGCUUCUUGGAGACAACGAGCAGCGGCGUCUCAGUCACCUACUGGGGCUAAAUCUGCUACGGGUUAAAUAUACAGGGUAUUCCCAUGGGCCAAUGAUGAGAAGAUGAUGUCUUUAAGUGGCUCUACUACUUUUCCCCUUGUGUGAAUUCUUGAAAGGAAGUAAACAAAAGGACUACACUCACACGGAACCAUGAAGCCAACGAUCUACGUCAACUAGAUGUUUUAGAUUUCAUUUUGUACAACUGAUGUCUCAUACUUGCAUAUAUUUUACCUGUCCUUUGGUGAACCUGAUGUAUGGUGUCUUGGUGGUUAUGUUUAGAACAAGUUGAAGUGUAUGUAUGUGACAAAUAGUUAAUGGAAUAAAAAAAUGU